rnacentral:lncRNA from 1 species
UUUAAAGUACCUCCUUCCCUGUGGAAUUUCUGCAAAUCAUUUACUCAAAUGCCAAGAUACCAUAGAAGCAGCUGUUUCUGAGAAAAUUUGUUCAGGCUUACAUAUUUGUUGUGAUGAAGAAUAUUGCAUUAAAGAAUCCUUUGCUGCUGCACUAGGAAGCAUGCUGUGCUCUACCCUGAAGAGAGGGUUAAACAAUGGUUCUGAGGGGCAGGUGCACCCCUUAGUCAAGAACUUUCAACCCUGGCUCAUGCAGUGACACAGUUUGCAAACCUGCUGGCUAAUUCUCCAAAACAAUUUGAUAGUGCUCCUUCAAUAUUAAAUAGAACACGAGGAUGGCUGCUGAUGAAAGAUAACAACAGCUGAAGGAGGCAGUGCAAAUGGAAGUCAACUACCAUCUUCAGCAGAUUAAGACUUCCUUGAAUAGUAUGCAAGAAAAUUAUGAAGAUUCCUUCAAAGCAUGAUUUCCGUGGUGACUGCAGAAGCAGGACAGUGCCUGUGGGACAUGGAUUUAGAAACUCCAAAGUGGUGCAAAGAACGUCUGACAAGCCUGAGCAACUGAAGAGUUGA